rnacentral:rRNA from 1 species
GACGAACGCUGGCGGCGUGCUUAACACAUGCAAGUCGAACGGAAAGGCCCUGCUUUUGUGGGGUGCUCGAGUGGCGAACGGGUGAGUAACACGUGAGUAACCUGCCCUUGACUUUGGGAUAACUUCAGGAAACUGGGGCUAAUACCGGAUAGGAGCUCCUGCUGCAUGGUGGGGGUUGGAAAGUUUCGGCGGUUGGGGAUGGACUCGCGGCUUAUCAGCUUGUUGGUGGGGUAGUGGCUUACCAAGGCUUUGACGGGUAGCCGGCCUGAGAGGGUGACCGGCCACAUUGGGACAGAGAUACGGCCCAGACUACUACGGGAGGCAGCAGUGGGGAAUAUUGCACAAUGGGCGGAAGCCUGAUGCAGCAACGCCGCGUGCGGGAUGACGGCCUUCGGGUUGUAAACCGCUUUCGCCUGUGACGAAGCGUGAGUGACGGUAAUGGGUAAAGAAGCACCGGCUAGCUACGUG